CGCCCUAUAAGGAGCCUACCUGUCAAAUUUCAAGUUUGUGGCUGUUAUAGUUUCGGAGAUUUCGUGAUAAGCGAGUCAACCUACCAUCCCCGAUUUACCUCAAAAGGGAGUUGAUUUCUAAAGAUACAUUAUUUGAACACCUUUUCAUCAUCUAUAAGGCAUACAUUUUAAAUUUCAAGUCUCUUACUUCAAAAACAUAGGACUUUCAUACAAACUUCCA
rnacentral:misc_RNA from 1 species